CCCCCGACAUGCCCUAGUACGGCGAGUGAAGCGGCAACAGCUCAAAUUUGAAAGCUAGCCUUCGGGUUCGCAUUGUAAUUUGUAGAGGAUGAUUUGGGGAAGCCGCCUGUCUAAGUUCCUUGGAACAGGACGUCAUAGAGGGUGAGAAUCCCGUAUGUGACAGGAAAUGGCACCCUAUGUAAAUCUCCUUCGACGAGUCGAGUUGUUUGGGAAUGCAGCUCUAAAUGGGAGGUAAAUUUCUUCUAAAGCUAAAUAUUGGCGAGAGACCGAUAGCGCACAAGUAGAGUGAUCGAAAGAUGAAAAGCACUUUGGAAAGAGAGUUAAAAAGCACGUGAAAUUGUUGAAAGGGAAGCGCUUGCAAUCAGACUUGUUUAAACUGUUCGGCCGGUCUUCUGACCGGUUUACUCAGUUUGGACAGGCCAGCAUCAGUUUCGGCGGCCGGAUAAAGGCUCUGGGAAUGUGGCCUCCACUUCGGUGGAGGUGUUAUAGCCCAGGGUGUAAUACGGCCAGCCGGGACUGAGGUCCGCGCUUCGGCUAGGAUGCUGGCGUAAUGGUUGUAAGCGAAAAACUCAUAAAACACGGACCCAGUG
rnacentral:rRNA from 1 species